AAGCAAACUAGUUCUAUCGCUGCAUUUUAAAAAUGAAGAGGAAAGUCCGGGCAACACAGAGCGAUACGCUUCCUAACGGGAAGGCUGAUUUGAAAAAAUUAGACAGCAAGUGCCACAGAAAAUAUACCGCCUUUCGGGGUAAGGGUGAAAACGUGAGGUAAGAGCUCACGGAUUUGCAUGGCAACAUGCAUCUCGGUAAACCUCGUAUGUUGAAAGACCAAAUAGGUUGCAAGAAUUGAAAGCUGCUCGUUUUCUGCCUUGAGCAAUUGCAAUGGGUAGGUUGAUGGAGUUUGCAUGUGAAUGCAAACCUAGAUAAAUGAUAGAAAUUCUUAUUUUAGAAUACAGAACCCGGCUUACAAAGUUUGCUUCUUU
rnacentral:RNase_P_RNA from 1 species